CCUACGGGGUGCAACAGUGGGGAAUAUUGGGCAAUGGGCGCAAGCCUGACCCAGCAACGCCGCGUGAAGGAAGAAGGCUUUCGGGUUGUAAACUUCUUUUGACAGGGAAGAGUAGAAGACGGUACCUGUCGAAUAAGCCAUGGCUAACUACGUGCCAGCAGCCGCGGUAAUACGUAGGUGGCAAGCGUUGUCCGGAUUUACUGGGUGUAAAGGGCGUGUAGCCGGGUUGACAAGUCAGAUGUGAAAUCCUGCGGCUUAACCGCAGAACUGCAUUUGAAACUGUUGAUCUUGAGUACUGGAGAUGCAGACGGAAUUCCUAGUGUAGCGGUGAAAUGCGUAGAUAUUAGGAGGAACACCAGUGGCGAAGGCAGUCUGCUGGACAGCAACUGACGGUGAGGCGCGAAAGCGUGGGGAGCAAACAGGAUUAGAUACCCUUGUAGUC
rnacentral:rRNA from 1 species